AAUCAGGUAGGACUACCCGCUGAACUUAAGCAUAUCAAUAAGCGGAGGAAAAGAAACUAACAAGGAUUCCCCUAGUAACUGCGAGUGAAGCGGGAAAAGCUCAAAUUUAAAAUCUGGCGGUCUUUGGCCGUCCGA
rnacentral:rRNA from 1 species